rnacentral:lncRNA from 1 species
GAGGAAUGACAAAAAUGAAAAAGAAAUAAAGUGCUAAUGACUGCUUUCUUAACUUAGUGCCAAUCCAGGAAAAAAAAAAAAAAAGAAAAAAAAGAAAAAAAAAAGGAAAAAAAAAGGAAGGAAAAAAAAAAGGAAGAAAAAAAAAAAAAAAAAAAAAAAAAGGAAGAAAAAAAAAAUGUCUGCAGCUUUCUGUUGACCCUGCAUGAUGGCAUUUUUGCGCUCUGUGUGCUGCCUCUGCUGAUUGCUAUUCCUGGCACAAACACACACACACGCACACACACACACACACACACACGCAGCCCCAGCACGGCUCUCACGGGCACGGCGAGCCCACUCCAAAAAUAAAAUAAAAUAAAAAAAAAAUUAAAAAAACCCCAAAACAACAAAACCCCCUCAAAACACCCCCCCCACCACCAAAUUGUCCCCAAACCCAACCCGAGCCGGCUAUUUCUCACAUUUUUUUUUCUAAGGAUCUAAUCUGGCUACUGUGCUCUGGAAGAGGAGGAGAGCGAGCCAGCAGGAGAGAGAGGAGAGAGCGAGGACCAUCGCAGCGCCUCAAGGUUGAUGUCAAUCCCUUUGCCGGGGAGCGGGAACACGCGGCGCCCUCCCUCCAUGUUAUCUCCGGCGAUGGAUUUUGCUCCAGAGCGCGAUUCCCUGCCGGAGAGGGAAUUUACCCAGGAAGGCUCAGGCUGAGCAUCUGCUUUGCUGUGAGCCUUCAGCCUUUUUUUUUCCCCUUUUUUUUCUUUUUUCCCUGCUUUCUUUUUUUUUUUUCCUUUUUUCUUUUUCCUUUUUUCCCUUAUUUUUCUUUUUUCUUCUUCUUUCUUCUUUUUUCUCUUUCUUCUGUUUUCUUUUUCCUUUUUUCUUUUUUUCUCUUUUCUAUUUUUUUUCUUUUUCUCUUUUUUCUUUUUUUCCUGUUUUCUUUUUUCUUCUUUUUCCUUUUCUUUGUUUUUUUCUAUUUUCCUUUUGUUGUUUUUCUUUUUUAUUCCCCCUUCUUUCCCCCCUUUUUUUCUUUUUUUUUUUUUUUUCCCCCCCACCCCCUCCCCUCCCAGUUUCAAAAUAAAGGAAGAAAAACCAAGGGGAGAAGAGAGGAUGGAGCUGGCGGAUGAGCCGGAUUUCCAUGCGAGGAGAUGAGGUUGGGGAGGCCACGGGCUUCCCCUGGCAAGCGCCGGAGGAACCGGGGCCAGCAGAAACGUUGAGUCAUGAGUGCGGUUCGCAGGCGAUGGUUUUUUUGGGUGUUGGUUUUUUUUUUUUCCCCAAAUAAAAUUCCUUGCUGGGGAGGAGCUGCUGGAAGG